AUUGAACGCUGGCGGCAGGCCUAACACAUGCAAGUCGAGCGAGAGGCGGACGGGUGAGUAAUGUAUGGGGAUCUGCGCGAUAGAGGGGGAUAACUACUGGAAACGGAGGCUACUACCGCCUACUAUCGGCUGAACCCAUAUGGGUUAGCUAGUAGGUGGGGGAAAGGCCCACCUAGGCGACGAUACCUAGCUGGUCUGAGAGGAUGAUCAGCCACACUGGGACGGAGACACGGCCCAGACUCCUACGGGAGGCAGCAGUGGGGAAUAUUGCACAAAGGGCGCAAGCCUGAUGCAGCCAUGCCGCGUGUAUGAAGAAGGCCUGAGGGUUGUAAAGUACUUUCAGCUGGGAGGCGUUACCCGCAGAAGAAGCACCGGCUAACUCCGUGCCAGCAGCCGCGGUAAUAC
rnacentral:rRNA from 1 species